rnacentral:rRNA from 1 species
AAAAUGACUCUCGGCAAUGGAUAUCUCGGCUCUUGCAUCGAUGAAGAACGUAGUGAAAUGCGAUACUUGGUGUGAAUUGCAGAAUCUCGUGAACCAUUGAGUCUUUGAACGCAAGUUGUGCCCGAGGCCUUGUGGCCGAGGGCACGCCUGCUUGGGCGUCAUU